UACGUAGGGUGCGAGCGUUAAUCGGAAUUACUGGGCGUAAAGCGUGCGCAGGCGGUUGUGUAAGACAGAUGUGAAAUCCCCGGGCUCAACCUGGGAACUGCAUUUGUGACUGCACGGCUCGAGUGCGGCAGAGGGGGAUGGAAUUCCGCGUGUAGCAGUGAAAUGCGUAGAUAUGCGGAGGAACACCAAUGGCGAAGGCAAUCUCCUGGACCUGCACUGACGCUCAUGCACGAAAGCGUGGGGAGCAAACAGG
rnacentral:rRNA from 1 species